rnacentral:tRNA from 1 species
AACUCAAAUACAUUAUCAUUAGUUUUAAUAAUUUAAUAUAAAAUAUUGGUCUUGUAAAUCAAAA